CACAACUCUCACUACCCCAUAAUAUUAGGAUCCUCCAACGCCAGCGCCACCUCUCGGGGCGGCUGCUUCAGUACCUCCACCGUCGCUCCUUUCUCAGGUUCACCUACCUUAGCAAUACCAGCCGCAGCCUCCGUUCGCCCACUAUGCUACAAGCCCUCCUCAACCUCAAGAUUACGUUCGAACCCUUUAUAUCGCAGGGCCUCCUGAAGACGUAAAACCUCGCGAGAUUUUCAACCUCUUUCGGGAAUUCCAUGGCUACCAGUCUACCCAGCUCAGGAGCUCCACCCAAAGUUCACAGGGACUGGUGUUUGACCUUGAGAAGAAGUCAACUUUGUAUAUAGAUCUUACAAAAUUGAAUUCAGAUCUAGGCGCUCAAGAACAGGUCUAUUGCAAGUUGAAUUUCUUCCGCUUAAAUUACUCAUUUUCCUUUUCAUUUAAAAGAAAAAUCUUCUCCAAUGUUGAUGCUGUCCUAAAACUAAGAAACAGAUGGGCUGGUUCUUCUGAAAAGGAAGUUAGGGGAGGGAUAUGCUGUAAUUCCUGGAAGAAUUCCUGACUCUGAUGCCAAACAGGUUUGGAGCUCCAGUUGCAUGUACUGUUUUGUAACCUCUACUGACUUGUUUUGAUUUGGAAAUAUCAGACUAUUGAUACUUCUUUGGCAUGUUAUUUCCAGAUAGUCUCUUAAAUGUUGUGCACUGGAUUACUUUGCAUGCAGGAUGUUGAUUGUUCUACCAGUGCUCUAAAUCAUCUUCAAUGAACUCCUCUUUGCUCAUUACUUGAUGGCAAGGGCACGCGCUUGAAAUAUCCUUUUGAACAGAGCUGGAGCUUCUUUAUCAAUUCUCACAAUUUCUUUCUGGUGUGGUUUCAUAUGGGUGUUCAUUUUUUUCUCAACAUCAAAUCUAUGUAUGGGAAUCACGAAUGGGGUUGCGUACGAAGCCGACAUAGAUGUAACAUAGAACUAGUGAAGGACGUAUUUCCAUCUACUAUUUCAUACACUGAUGAGAACGGACAUCAGAAGUUUAUGUGGCAGCAUUGGGAGAAUAGCUGUUUCAUGUGGAAAUCAAUGUAUAUUUGCGCAGGUGUAGGUGUAUUUCCUUUCUCAACCAUGGGAUCAGCCUAUUCAGUGCCAGUAUGAUUGGAGUGGCACUGACUGCUCCCUAACAAUGUGGUGACAUAUUUCAUUCUCUUGAUUUGGUGGGCAAAUGUGUCACAGAUUUGAGCAUGGAAAUUAUACAGAGGAAUAUUUUUCCUGUUCUAUUAUUAGAAUUCAGGUUUUGGAAACCAACAUUGCUUCUGUUAUUGUAGUAAUUACUUUUAUAUAUCAUAAAAUGUUUCCAA